AUCAACAUCUCAAAAAAAAAAUGUUAAUACUGCUGAAAACUUUGAAGAAUUCAGCUUAGUCUGUGAAUGGUUCUUCCUAGGCACCCGGAAUGACACAUGAUCCCGGUGGGCUAUUUCCCUUCCAUGACUUCACCGGAAACUGGCUCUGAGGAAGCUGGAUGCCUUAUAAGCAGUCUGACUGUCCUGAGGCCACCAUGAUGUAAGGAAGCCCAAAGGAACCUACAGAGAGAGACUGAAUAUGGAGAGAGACGCCUGGCCAGGACCUCAGCUGCUCUAGUCCUGUACUACUUUCCUUCCGGCCACCUCUUUGCCUGCAAAUCCACUGACAGGCCACAAGCCAGCAUUGUCUACCCAAGCCCUACUCAGAUUCCUGACCUGCAGAAACUGUGAAAGAUAAUAAAAUGAUUAUUGAAAUCA